CUUACGGGAGGCAGCAGUAGGGAAUCUUCCGCAAUGGGCGAAAGCCUGACGGAGCAACGCCGCGUGAGUGAUGAAGGUCUUCGGAUCGUAAAACUCUGUUAUUAGGGAAGAACAAAUGUGUAAGUAACUAUGCACGUCUUGACGGUACCUAAUCAGAAAGCCACGGCUAACUACGUGC
rnacentral:rRNA from 1 species